rnacentral:rRNA from 1 species
GACGAACGCUGGCGGCGUGCUUAACACAUGCAAGUCGAACGGAAAGGCCCUGCUUUUGUGGUGUUCUCGAGUGGCGAACGGGUGUGUAACACGUGAGUAACCUGCCCUUGACUUGGGGAUAACUUGAGGAAACGGGGGCUAAUACCGUAUAGGAGCUCCUGCUGCAUGGUGGGGGGGGGAAAGUUUCGGCGGUUGGGGGGGGACGCGGGGCUUAUCAGCUUGUUGGUGGGGUAGUGGCUUCCCAGGGCUUUGACGGGUAGCCGGCCUGAGGGGGUGACCGGCCACAUUGGACCUGGGAUCGGGCCCGGACUCCACCGGGAGGCAGCGGUGGGGAAUAUUGACCAAUGGGCGGAGGCCUGUUGAAGCACGGCCGCGUGGGGGAGACCGGCCUUCGGGUUGUAAACCGCUUCGGUCAGUAACGAAGCGUGAGUGACGGUAGUGGGUAAAGAAGCACCGGCUAACUACGUG